AGCAUCCAAUCGAUUAAAAGUCCAGUUCCAGUCUCCCGGUAACGAUAUGUACUAACGGAAUAUUUUUGGUUUUAGAUGAACUAAGAAUUUUAGACGAACCAACCCUUUUUUUGUGAGACACCAAGCCUUUCUGGCUGAGUGCAUAUGAUAACCAAGUUUUGCAGUUUUUAAAAGCUGUAACCAAGCACAAACAUUUGUCGAAAAAGAGUUUAAAUAAAAUAUAUUCUUUGCUCA